UCUCUGGUAGUAUAUCGGUUAGUACACGCGCCUGUCAUCUGGUCAGACAUUCAUAUUGUGAGCGCCUGAAAGCUGGGUUCGACUCCCAGCCAGAGAG